CAAUUCAUUUUUCUACACUGCAACUGUCAAGAACAUGCAUUGUAUUUGAACAUGUACUUUUAGCUGAAAGAAAAAACAGAAAAAAUUAAAUUCAGUUGAUGGCAAAAUAUAUUGGUCCCUUGCUGAGAAGUGGAUCAUGAAUGUAAACGCCAGGGUUGGCUGACCAUGACAAAUGCAUGAUUGUUAUGGUGGUGGGUCCUAUCAAUAAUUAGACAUCCUUGCUCCACCACAUAUUUAUUCCGGACGGUUAUACAUAUCAUGAUGCUUUUAUUCUACAGUUUAGUUACCUAUACCCAAAGUGAAUUACCAGAACUAAAAAGAACUAUACCGAAGAAACAUAGGUCUUCUAAAAAUAUAAGUACUACAAAAAUAUAUAUGACAGGAAGAAAUCAGCGUUCGAUUGCAGAGUAAGCACAAAGCGUGCGACUCCAGAGUAAGCACAAGGUGGGUGGACGAUAUACAUUCAUGUGAUCAGGUGCGACAGGGUUCUGCUACAGCUUUGAUGUUACUUCUAGCUUUAUUUGUCUCCUUGGUUUCCCUUUUUUUUUUGACAAGUCCUUGGUUUCCCUUUUAUGUUUCCCACAUGGCAUUGUAAGUGGUUUAUUUAUAACCUCCGCUAGCAAUGGACUCUUAGCCACACUGCACGGCAGUAUACAUGCACUUAAAGUGGAAGGUCUGAACACAUUGGAGCAUUCUGUAAGCUCUGUUUUCUCGGUGCCAUAUGAGAGACAAAUGUCAAGGCAUACAGUGAAGUCAUGAGCAGAUGGCUGGUCCUUGCCUUGGGUUUUAGAAUGCCGAUAGACGGGACUCGAUUAUCAAGUGAGGGUGCUCUGUUUUAGUUAUGCUCUUAGGCAUUGGGAUGGUGACACAUUGGCAAUGUUAGCAUGGGGGUGUCAUACAUUGCCCUGGCUAGCAAGGUCACCCGAGCGGAUCAGAGGAGAAAGAUAAGGCGAAAUUUCGCAGAGAAAAGAAAUGGGCCUAUAAAAAUACAAAAAAACGAUGGGUGUUCACAUGCAUAAAAAUUCAUGUAUUGCUUGAGAUGUUACACCAACGUAAACAUUGAGGAUCAAGGAAAAAGAGACUAGUAAGAAUGUGAAUUUGAUUGCUGGUAGAAACGGUUGUGUAACCGGGUUAUAGUUGCGAGCAUCUCAAGACAAAUAGCAUUUCAAGACGUGGGUAUAUAUGUUUUCAUGGCACUGGUAUGUAACCCUAUAAAAUUGAUUAUAGUGUAGGUUGGUAAGACUGCACCCUAAAAAUGUUUUCUUGAAAAUAACAUGAACAGAGAAAGUAACCGAAAUGUCUUCACAUAUAUCAGUGACUGCAGUGGCAAUCAAGGAACGGAAAAUUUUAAAUAGUGGUACACAGGAAAAAGAAUGAAUUCUGAUGGCAGUGGGUAAAGCAAUAUAAACUCUAGUGGUUUUGGAGGGAAGUUGCUCCAGGUAAAACUUGUCUAUGCAAUGACUCAGGUAAUUAGGCAUACAUGACUGGUAAUUAAGAUAGCACAUUACAUAUGCAUGGCAAGAAUAUUAGUAUGACAUUACAUAGUACUAUAUUUUACACAUUAAAUAUGACGAAUACUUGGACACUAGACAUUGAUUAUACAUACUAACCAGGUGCAAUUUAUCACUCUGGUAAGUCAUGUUAUUUGGUAGCUUAUCCGGAGUCCACCUCAACUAACUGUGCAAGGUUUUUAGGAAACACUACAAGACCGCGUGCUAACGUCCACGAUGUGAACAAUGAAGCCACAAAUGCACUCGGAUAUUUGACAAGCUCUCUUUUCCCGGUGCCGCCCAUUCACAUUCAUGGGCCUGGGGGCACCCGAUUGUACCAUAACAAUGCAAUGCAAUGUGGCUGGGAGAUCUACUGAGAAGAUGGAGAGAUGUGCAGUGGUCACUGGAUUGAAAUGUGGAGAUUGUUACUAGGAGAGGAGGACGAGGGCACACCGUUUCAUACCCUUAUCCCUUAAGCCAUGGCUCGAUCGAGGGCUAGGGAAUUAAUUUCAGCAUGGGUCUAGUGCAUUUAGUGCAAAGAUCCACCUUUGUCAUUGGAAAAAUCACUAGUACAUAAAAUUUAAUGGAAGCGGUCGUUUUUCAUUAAUGGAGGCGGGCAUUCGCAACCGCCUCCAAUGAAAGGCCUUGGUUAAUCGAGACUUAAUGGAGGCAGAUGCCAUACCUGCCUCGGUUAACUGAUUAAUGGAGGUGGGCCAUUUAGAAUGCCCAUCUCGGUUAAUUGAUAAAAAAAUAAAAAAAUCACAAGCCCAACAGCGAGCACAUUCCCGAGCCCGCCGGUGAGCCUGUUGCCAGCCCAGUAGCUAGAUCUGGCACUGAUCUGGGCCUCGUGCCCCUGUCUUCGAUCCACCACCCUAGCACCGCUGGGAAGAGGGGGCUAGGACCCGCCAGCACCUUUGAAAAAUGCAGGGGGUGGGGCUGCACGCUGCGCCGCAGAAGGACGAGGAGGGCGCGUAGCCGCGCCCAUCCACGUGCACCAACACCACCGCAGCUCCCAAGCCGCUGCAGCCGGAGGUCAAAGAUCUGCAAGGGAGGAGGAUGUGAGGGAUGUAUCCAACUAGAUCUGAGAGAGGAGAGAGAGAGGGGCCGAGGGACAUACCUCUUCCUUGCACCGGAUCCAUGAUGGCCAGGGCGCGCACCCACCACCGUUGGAGCCUCCACGCCACCAAGACCUCUGCAACAUGUGAGGGAGAGAAGGUAGGGGAGAGGCAUGGCCACCGCCGUCAGAGAGAAAUGCUUGAGGAAGAGGGCACAGGGGAGAGGGAGGAGAGGGCCUAGACGUUGGACACGGGGGAGAGGGAGGGUUCCAUCGCGCCGCUCGAUGGACGGAAGGAGGCAAAGGGAGUUUGACUGAGGAGUGAG
rnacentral:lncRNA from 1 species